UACCACCUCCUCUGAGACAAAAACAGUAAAAACAAGGAUAUACUGUGAGAUGAUAAAGAUAAAAUGAGAAUGCUGUCUAUACCCACAGACAGGGAACUGGAUGCUCAGAUGCCACAGGAACUCGUUUCUUCCUUCCCAAACCCAGGCCAAAGGACAACAGCUGGCUGGACUCAGGAGCAAUCUUACUUCCCUUCCUGCUCCAGAAAGGACACCGAUGGGAGGAUGUGGUGGUGAUGGUAGAGGCAGAGCUGUGAAGAACUGAGAGGCUGUUAGAAAACUGUGGUGGAACGGUGGCUGGGGAAAAGGACCUUGGCUUAGGACAUGAAUCCAGUGACCUGAGGUCAGCAGUUUCUAUCUGAACCCAAGCGAGGUUGACCUGGGGCCUGGGCAGGAUUGUAUUUGCUGGGGCUGCUAUCAAAAAUACUGCGAACUGGAUGGCUUAAACACCAGAAAUUAUUCUCUUACAGUUCUGGAGGACUAAAGUCCAAACUCAAGGUAUCGGCAGGGCUGGUUUCCCUGAGAGCCACAAGUGAAGGAUCUGUCCCAGGCAUCUCUCCUUGGCUGAUGCUGCUUCCCCACAGGGUGAGGGCUGACAGCUGGGCUUAGGCAUGGCUGCUACAAUGCCCACCUUAUGGGAGCCGAGGCGUUUGCAGCCCAGGCCCUAGCACAGGGCACCAGAUCUUCCCAGCACUUGCAGACUCAGAUGAAGCUUCUUGCCCCCUGGCUGGGAGCCUGGAAGAUGGCUGCCUUGUCACUGCCUAAAAGGAAAAGAUCCUGAUGUCCAGGCCACUCCCAGACCAAUGAAAUCAGAGUCUCCGAGGGUGCAGUCCAUGCAUCAGCGCGUGGCCCUGGUGAUGACUAAGUGCAGCCAAGUCGCGGUUUACUAUAAGGCAGUUCAUAGAUGCUGCUGCUGCUGCUAGCAUUUCAUCUGCUGAGUAGAAACAGCUCAGUAGAAACAGCCGUCCGAGGUACAGCCCUGCGGGACUUUGAGUGUUAAUGUUGGGUGCAUAGUGAUGAGGCUUUUUUAAAGCCUUGAAAUGGGGCCAACUGGUAUUACCUAAGGAACGUUAAGUAAGAGUCAGUGUGUGAGCCUAAGCCCUGGCUAUGGGAGGAGGGGCGAGUGAGGGAAGCACAUGAUGUUAAACUAGGCUAAUGAGUUUAAUUUCCCUUUGUUUUCCUAGAUUUCUUGGCAAAUAGAAAAAGCUCUCUUGGUUUUCCGUUUAAAGUUCAUGACAGAUUCCCUAAGUGUUUGUAAAACAUCUGCCAACCACACUGAUGAGCUCUCAUACAAAGAUUUUGGAGAUACAGACUGAUUUCCUUUGGUGACUACAACUGAUUUUUUUUUUUUUUUUUUAGUUACUACAAUUGAUUUUAUCUCUAUAAUUUUCUUCUCUGUCAUCUUAUUUUAAGCAAACAAAAACUGUGGCACAAAAAUAAAGUGAUGGUUUUUG